GCAAUGCAAUGCAACGCAAUGCAACGCAACGCAAUGCAACGCAAAGCAACGCAGCACAACGCAGUGCCGUGCUGUACCGGGCGGACCUGAGGACCUGCUUCUGCCUUUUGGGAAACUGGAGCAUGUACUGCCCAGGUGAAUAAACUGAGCUGAACCCUGGACAAAAACAGAGACACAGACUUCUCAGGACAUCUGAGCUUGAGGAGCAUGGGUGCACUCAGCACUCAGUGCUUGGGUUCAUAUCAUUGCAAUUAGGACCAGCCAUGUGAAAUCCUGUUACACACAGGACUGGGAAGCAGAGAGUUUCUUAUGUGUUGAAGGGAUGCAAAUGCCUGGUGAGCCCAGAAGACUCUGGCUGCAAAGGCUGGGGAAAAGCAAGAAGGUUUCCAAGCUGUUGAAACGGUUGAAGUGUAAUCCAGCGCAGAAAACCAGUUCCAGGCAGUUCAUACCUGGACUGAUUGUUCAAUUUUUCUUCUCUAACCUGAAAAUUCAGGUGACAAGAUCAACUCAAGGGCAAAGCACUGCCCAGGGACCAGAAGCUGGUGCAGACCUACAUGGAUAGCAAGUUCUGUGACUCCUACGCCUUGCACCACACCCACAGCUAAUGAGAAAUCGAUAGAAGUCAGCAACAUGGGUUAGGCUGGAGCCUGCCUGCUCUCACUGGCACAGCAGACUGUGCUGUUUGGCUGGUUAUUUGAUGAAAUUAGUAGAAAGGACAAACAGUCCUGUGAUAAAAAAACUGGAGAUGUGUCUGGAUGAGCAUUAACAGGCUGGGAUGCAU